GAAAUGCGAUAAGUAGUGUGAAUUGCAGAAUUCAGUGAAUCAUCGAAUCUUUGAACGCACAUUGCGCCCUUUGGUAUUCCUUAGGGCAUGCCUGUUCGAGCGUCAUCUAAACCUUCAAGCACAGCUUGGUGUUGGGUGCCUGUCCCGCCUCCGCGCGUGGACUCACCUCAAAUCCAUUGGCGGCCCUCACGUCGGCUACGAGCGCAGCAGAAACGCGAACUCGUGGCCUGGCGGGAGCGGCAAUCCAUAGCUAUUUCUAACCAGUUUGACCUCGGAUCAGGUAGGGAUACCCGCUGAACUUAA
rnacentral:misc_RNA from 1 species